CCAGUUUUCCAUGGAUAGUCACUUCAAAUUUCUGACUGAUAGAUCCAUCUUUAAAGAAAAAAUUAAAAUCCCAAAGCAAACUGGAAGAAAAUCUAAAUUCACAGGUCUAGAAGAUAAGAAGAUCAAACAGUUGCCUAAUUUGUGGAUCCAGACUGGACUUUGGUGGGGAUUUGGCACCUAUUUCAUACACAGAGCUGAGAAAAAACUGAGAAGUGAUUACUGCAGUGCAUUCAAAUGCCAUGGGAAGGUGAGCAAUGGAAGGCCAGACACCUCCAGACCAAUGGACAGGCUGCUGUGAACAGGAACUGAAGAUAAAGUGUGUGUUUAUAGGUAGCAUUUUAAAACAGCUGCAAUUUCACUGCUGGACCAACCCUCUGAUUAGACAAGUGGAAAAGCUAUGAAGUAUACUCUGUAAUAAAUGUCAGAGCAAAGAAGAGCAAAGAACUGAAAAACACCCUAUUAGAGGCUAGCAAGAGCCAGGAAAUAAAAGAAGAACCUGUGUCAAAAAGCAAAAAAAAUUCAAGAGCAGAACAGAAGUUCAAGGGUGACAAAGAAAAGGAUCACAGCCCUUUUGGGCCGUGACAGUGGUAAUUUUUAUAUCCAACUCAGUGCAAAGCUGGAUUCCAAGCUGUGGUGUCAUUGUGGAGCAGAGACUCAGCAUGCCAGUGGCAUCCAUCAGUGUGGGGUCCUCACCUGGCAGUGCAGUCACACAGCAAGAGCCCUGCUUGCUGAAAUGGUAGCAAUGCUCUUCAUCAGUGUGGAGGGUGACUGUCACCAUCUAUUAAAAAAAAAUAUUAAGGAAUUAAUAUAAUUGGACUGAAGUUACAAGGAAGAAUUGAAUUGAGCCAGUAGGGUUAACACUGAUGGUAACAGGAGAUAACUAGCCAUAAGAAAAUUAC